AGUGAUAAAGGAGGUGGGAUUGCAUAGACAACCAGGAGGUUUGCCUAGAAGCAGCCAUCCUCAAAGGAGUGCGUAAUAGCUCACUGGUCGAGCGAUCCUGCGCCGAAAAUGAACGGGGCUAAGUGUUGUACCGAAGCUGCGGAUUUUUAUGGUAGGGGAGCGUUCUAUGUGGGGCGAAGCGUUAGCGUGAGCGGGCGUGGACUGCAUAGAAGUGAGAAUGUCGGCUUGAGUAGCGAAAACAUGGGUGAGAAUCCCAUGCACCGAAACCCUAAGGGUUCCUCCGGCAGGCUCGUCCGCGGAGGGUUAGUCAGGACCUAAGGCGAGGCCGAAAGGCGUAGUCGAUGGAUAACAGGUCAACAUUCCUGUACCGGUUAUGUUUUGGGAAGAGGGACGGAGAAGGCUAGCCAAGCCAGAUGUUGGUUACUGGUUCAAGCGUUCGAGGCGUUGAGGAGCGGUGAAAACGUUCCGAGCUGAGGCGUGAGUACGAGCUCCUACGGGAGCGAAGUUGGUGAUGUCAUGCUUCCAAGAAAAGCUCUAUACCCGUUAAGGCAUAACUGCCAGUACCCGAAACCGACACAGGUGGGGUGGUAGAGAAUACCGAGGGGCGCGAGGUAACUCUCUCUAAGGAACUCGGCAAAAUGACCCCGUAACUUCGGGAGAAGGGGUGCCACCGCAAGGUGGUCGCAGUGAAGAGGCCCUGGCGACUGUUUACCAAAAACACAGGUCUCCGCUAAGUCGCAAGACGAUGUAUGGGGGCUGACGCCUGCCCAGUGCCGGAAGGUUAAGGAAGCCGGUCAGCGUAAGCGAAGCUGGCGACUGAAGCCCCGGUGAACGGCGGCCGUAACUAUAACGGUCCUAAGGUAGCG
rnacentral:rRNA from 14 species